GAUGAACGCUGGCGGCGUGCUUAACACAUGCAAGUCGAACGAUGAAGCCCAGCUUGCUGGGUGGAUUAGUGGCGAACGGGUGAGUAACACGUGAGUAACCUGCCCUUAACUCUGGGAUAAGCCUGGGAAACUGGGUCUAAUACCGGAUAGGAGCGUCCACCGCAUGGUGGGUGUUGGAAAGAUUUAUCGGUUUUGGAUGGACUCGCGGCCUAUCAGCUUGUUGGUGAGGUAAUGGCUCACCAAGGCGACGACGGGUAGCAGGCCUGAGAGGGUGACCGGCCACACUGGGACUGAGACACGGCCCAGACUCCUACGGGAGGCAGCAGUGGGGAAUAUUGCUCAAUGGGCGCAAGCCUGAUGCAGCGACGCCGCGUGAGGGAUGACGGCCUUCGGGUUGUAAACCUCUUUCAGUAGGGAAGAAGCGAAAGUGACGGUACCUGCAGAAGAAGCACCGGCUAACUACGUG
rnacentral:rRNA from 1 species